AGCUCAGGGAAGAGAAGUUGAGUCUCGGUGAACACAGGCAGCUCAGUAACGAGCCGCAGCGGCCGCAGCCGGAGCCGAGCCGGAGCCGAGCCGAGCCGAGCCGGGGCGGGCGGACAGGCGGCCGGCCAGGGGGAGUGAGCGAGCCGCUCCCCCCCCCCCCUUCCCUCCUCCCCGCAGGGUGCCCGGCGGGCCGGGGCUCUGCCUGGACCAUGCCGAUCCUCCUCUUCCUCAUAGACACGUCCGCCUCCAUGAACCAGCGGGCGUAUCUGGGCACCAGCUACCUGGACAUCGCCAAGGGCGCCGUGGAGAUCUUCAUGAAGCUGCGGGCCCGGGACCCGGCCAGCCGCGGCGACAGGUACAUGCUGGUUACCUUCGACGAGCCGCCCUACUGCAUCAAGGCUGGAUGGAAGGAAAACCAUGCAACAUUUAUGAAUGAACUGAAAAAUCUUCAGGCUUCAGGACUAACUACCCUUGGUCAGGCACUCAGGUCAUCAUUUGACUUGUUAAAUCUCAACAGAUUAGUGUCUGGAAUAGACAACUAUGGACAGGGAAGGAAUCCAUUCUUUUUGGAGCCAUCUAUUUUGAUUACCAUCACAGAUGGAAACAAACUGACAAAUACGUCUGGAGUUCAAGAGGAGCUUCAUCUUCCUUUGAAUUCUCCUUUGCCUGGAAGUGAAUUAACCAAAGAACCAUUUCGUUGGGAUCAAAGGCUGUUUGCUCUAGUGCUGCGUUUGCCAGGAGCUGCAUCUGCUGAACCAGAGCAGCUUGGGAGUGUGCCUACUGACGAAUCUGCUAUCACACAGAUGUGUGAAGUUACAGGAGGUCGUUCUUACUGCGUUCGGACACAAAGAAUGUUGAAUCAGUGUUUAGAAUCUCUAGUUCAAAAAGUCCAAAGUGGAGUUGUUAUUAACUUUGAAAAGUCAGGACCAGAUCCAGCUCCUAUUGGAGAAGAUGGACUUGUUGAUUCAUCCAGACCCAUCAAUUCAUUUGCUUCUCAACCGUGGCAUAGUUGUCAUAAACUCAUUUAUGUACGGCCUAACCCUAAAACGGGUGUUCCUGUUGGGCAUUGGCCAAUCCCAGAAUCUUUUUGGCCUGAUCAGAAUUCACCAACCCUGCCUCCGCGCACAGCUCACCCUGUUGUGAGGUUCUCCUGUGUUGAUUGUGAGCCAAUGGUAAUAGACAAGCUUCCUUUUGACAAGUAUGAGCUUGAGCCUUCACCCUUAACACAGUACAUCUUGGAACGAAAGUCUCCCCAUACCUGCUGGCAGGUAUUUGUGAGUAGCAGUGGAAAAUACAGCGAACUUGGCCAUCCGUUCGGGUAUUUAAAAGCAAGCACUACUUUAACCUGUGUAAACCUCUUUGUGAUGCCUUACAACUAUCCUGUUUUACUUCCGUUGUUAGAUGACUUGUUUAAGGUUCACAAACUUAAGCCAAAUCUGAAGUGGCGACAGGCUUUUGACAACUACUUAAAAACGAUGCCUCCUUACUACUUACUGCCAUUAAAGAAAGCCCUAAGGAUGAUGGGAGCUCCAAAUCUGAUAUCAGAUAAUUUAGAUUGUGGACUUAGUUACAGUGUUAUCUCUUACCUUAAAAAACUCAGCCAACAGACAAAAAUAGAGUCGGAACGGAUAAUAGGUUCAGUGGGUAAGAAAGUUCCACAAGAAAUUGGAAUAAAAGUGAAAAAUCACUCCAGUGGCCUCUCCUUGGUACACAGUAGGGAUUUUAAGCAACUGCUGCAAGGAAUCACUGGGGAAUCUCCACUGAGACUGGCGGAAAUGAAUGUUAAAGAAUUUGCUGGCUUCCACAUAGGACUUUUAAACAAGGAUUUGAAGCCACAGGCAUUCAGAAAUGCAUAUGAUAUUCCUCGUCGCAGUCUUCUAGACCAGCUAACUAGAAUGAGAACCAAUCUUCUGAAAACACACAGGCUUAUCUUGGGGCAGGAUGAAGACUGCCUUCAUAGUGUUCCUGUUGCUCAAAUGGGAAACUACCAGGAAUACCUGAAAAUGAUGCCUUCACCCCUUCGGGAGAUUGACCCGGAUCAACCGAAAAGACUUCAUACAUUUGGCAAUCCAUUUAAACAGGAUAAGAAGGGUAUGAUGAUAGAUGAAGCAGAUGAAUUUGUCACUGGGCCUCAGAAUAAGAUUAAGCGUCCCGGAGAGCCCAAUACUCCAGCAUCACUAAAGAGGAGGCGUAGCAUGUCACCACUGUUGAGACGGCCACAGUCACCACCCGUCGUAACGAAUCAUGUCGGUGGGAAAGGGCCACCAUCUGCUUCUGGAUCCCCAUCGUAUCUGAACCUCAAAGGCAUCCCAGCAAAUAAAGAUACCAGUAACAGUAUUGUCCAAGAUGGCAAUGGAGAGAAGAAAGCAGAAAAUUGUCAGUCACUGGAAAAGCAAAUUGAUGGCUUACCUGUGCAAAUGGCUCCUUCGGUUCCAGCUGCUAUGGGAGAGGAUGAAAUGUUACCCAAUGACUUAGACUCUCUACCUGUUGAAUUCAAUUGUUUAAGUGAAGAUGGGUUGGAUCAUAAACCUGGUACCAACGCACUUGUUCGAGGGCCUCUAAAUUACAGUGUGGCUGGAGAUGACCAAAAACGGGUGAUGGAGUCUACUUCCGAAUCUGUGCCAAAUUCAUUUAAAAUAACACCUAUGAUGUUGGAGGGAAACAAUGCUGAUAUCAAAAUUAAAGUGAUGAAAGAGGUUCGCAAACCUGGAAGAAAUUAUGAAAAAAUUUUCUCUCUUCUUGAGGAGGUGCAAGGACCUAUGGAAAUUCAGAAGUAUUUCAUUGAAUUUGCUAUCAAGGAAGCAGCAAGGUUUAAAAAACGGGUCUUAAUACAACACUUAGAGAGAAUACUAGAGGAACUAGAGUUCAACAGCCUACCCAACAGAGUUAAUCAUGUCAACAGUAGAUAAUAAUGUACCGGCCAGGCGAAUAUGGACCAGGAAUGAGUUUGCUGUGCCGCAGAAGAGUGGAAGAGGAUGUAGCUGCUGCCCUCACCAUCUUGGCAGUCAAGUGAUUUUACUGUCGCAGUCUGAGAAGAAGCAGUGGAGCUUUAACUUUAAGAACCUCUAUCGGCAGAAGCUGGGCUAUAACCUUAAGGAUUUGCUAUGAAAGGUGUGGCUUUUUUCCUGUGGAGGGUGCUAUUUGCUCAACAGGCUGAAGAAAAUAACCAUUGCUGCCCCUCCUGCAGACAUUAUGAAAGUGCACCUGAGGCUUCCCAGGUCCCCGACUUCAGUUCUCUUUCAUCCUGUGAGGAGGACGGAGAUUCUUCAGGUGGCCUUGGCACACGCUGUGCUUUGGAAGCACUAAAAGGAAACGCUUUUAAAAACGUGUAUUUUAAUGUUCAUACAAAAGAGAUUAUUUUGAACAGUAUUGUUACCAGAUCACUAAUUUGAUAUUUUAACUGUAUAAAUUUUUUGGAACAUAUGUAUAUAUAAAAUAAACCAUUUUAUUAAUUUUUAAUAA